GCUCAGAUUGAACGCUGGCGGCAGGCCUAACACAUGCAAGUCGAGCGGCAGCACGGGUACUUGUACCUGGUGGCGAGCGGCGGACGGGUGAGUAAUGCCUAGGAAUCUGCCUGGUAGUGGGGGAUAACGCUCGGAAACGGACGCUAAUACCGCAUACGUCCUACGGGAGAAAGCAGGGGACCUUCGGGCCUUGCGCUAUCAGAUGAGCCUAGGUCGGAUUAGCUAGUUGGUGAGGUAAUGGCUCACCAAGGCGACGAUCCGUAACUGGUCUGAGAGGAUGAUCAGUCACACUGGAACUGAGACACGGUCCAGACUCCUACGGGAGGCAGCAGUGGGGAAUAUUGGACAAUGGGCGAAAGCCUGAUCCAGCCAUGCCGCGUGUGUGAAGAAGGUCUUCGGAUUGUAAAGCACUUUAAGUUGGGAGGAAGGGCAUUUACCUAAUACGUAAGUGUUUUGACGUUACCGACAGAAUAAGCACCGGCUAACUCUGUGCCAGCAGCCGCGGUAAUACAGAGGGUGCAAGCGUUAAUCGGAAUUACUGGGCGUAAAGCGCGCGUAGGUGGUUUGUUAAGUUGGAUGUGAAAUCCCCGGGCUCAACCUGGGAACUGCAUUCAAAACUGACAAGCUAGAGUAUGGUAGAGGGUGGUGGAAUUUCCUGUGUAGCGGUGAAAUGCGUAGAUAUAGGAAGGAACACCAGUGGCGAAGGCGACCACCUGGACUGAUACU
rnacentral:rRNA from 1 species